CUUCAGGCCCCUGUUCAGGCGCCAGAAUGUCGCUGCCUAACUGUCCGCCAGCGGAAAGAAGACAGGACACAUG
rnacentral:miRNA from 1 species